UAGUCCACGCUGUAAACGAUGAUCACUCGAUAUUGGCGAUAUACAGUCAGUGUCCAAGCGAAAGUAUUAAGUGAUCCACCUGGGGAGUACGCUCGCAAGGGUGAAACUCAAAGGAAUUGACGGGGGCCCGCACAAGCGGUGGAGCAUGUGGUUUAAUUCGAUGAUACGCGAGGAACCUUACCAGGGCUUAAAUGCAUAGAUCAGAGAUGGUCUUUUCUUCGGACUACGUACAAGGUGCUGCAUGGUUGUCGUCAGCUCGUGCCGUGAGGUGUCGGGUUAAGUCCCAUAACGAGCGCAACCCUUAUCCUUAGUUGCCAGCGGAUCAUGCCGGGGACUCUGAGGAGACUGCCACCGUAAGGUGUGAGGAAGGUGGGGAUGACGUCAAAUCAGCACGGCCCUUAUGUCCAGGGCUACACACGUGUUACAAUGGACGGUACAAAGGGCAGCUACCUGGUGACAGGAUGCUAAUCUCUAAAGCCGUUCUCAGUUCGG
rnacentral:rRNA from 1 species